rnacentral:rRNA from 1 species
UGGGGAAUAUUGCACAAUGGGCGCAAGCCUGAUGCAGCCAUGCCGCGUGUGUGAAGAAGGCCUUCGGGUUGUAAAGCACUUUCAGCGGGGAGGAAGGCGAUAAGGUUAAUAACCUUGUCGAUUGACGUUACCCGCAGAAGAAGCACCGGCUAACUCCGUGCCAGCAGCCGCGGUAAUACGGAGGGUGCAAGCGUUAAUCGGAAUUACUGGGCGUAAAGCGCACGCAGGCGGUCUGUCAAGUCAGAUGUGAAAUCCCCGGGCUUAACCCGGGAAGUGCAUCUGAUACUGGUCAGCUAGAGUCUUGUAGAGGGGGGUAGAAUUCCAUGUGUAGCGGUGAAAUGCGUAGAGAUGUGGAGGAAUACCGGUGGCGAAGGCGGCCCCCUGGACAAAGACUGACGCUCAGGUGCGAAAGCGUGGGGAGCAAACAGG